GACGAACGCUGGCGGCGUGCUUAACACAUGCAAGUCGAACGGAAAGGCCCUGCUUCUGUGGGGUGCUCGAGUGGUGAACGGGUGAGUAACGCGUGAGUAACCUGCCCUUGACUUUGGGAUAACUUCAGGUAACUGGGGCUAAUACCGGAUAGGAGCAUCUGCUGCAUGGGGGGGGUUGGAAAGUUUAGGCGGUUGGGGAUGGACUCGGGGCUUAUCAGCUUGUUGGUGGGGUAGUGGCCUACCAAGGCUUUGACGGGUAGCCGGGCUGAGAGGGUGACCGGCCACGUUGGGAUGGAAAUGCGGCCCAGACUCCUACGGGAGGCAGCAGUGCGGUAUAUUGCACAAUGCGCUGAAGCCUGAUGCAGCAACGCCGCGUGCGGGAUGACGGCCAUCGGUUUGUAAACCGCUUUCGCCUGUGACGAAGUGUGAAUGACGGUAAUGGGUAAAGAAGCACCGGCUAACUACGUG
rnacentral:rRNA from 1 species